UCUGAGUGGACAUCUAUGGAUGAGA
rnacentral:piRNA from 1 species